GACGAACGCUGGCGGCGUGCUUAACACAUGCAAGUCGUACGGUAAGGCCCUUUCGGGGGUACACGAGUGGCGAACGGGUGAGUAACACGUGCGUAACCUGCCCACAACUUUGGGAUAACGCUAGGAAACUGGUGCUAAUACUGGAUAUGUGCCCCUGCUGCAUGGUGGGGGUUGGAAAGCUCCGGCGGUUGUGGAUGGACUUGCGGCCUAUCAGCUUGUUGGUGGGGUAGUGGCCUACCAAGGCGGCGACGGGUAGCCGGCCUGAGAGGGUGACCGGCCACAUUGGGACUGAGAUACGGCCCAGACUCCUACGGGAGGCAGCAGUGGGGAAGAUUGCACAAUGGGCGCAAGCCUGAUGCAGCAACGCCGCGUGCGGGAUGACGGCCUUCGGGUUGUAAACCGCUUUCAGCAGGGACGAAGCUUUUUGUGACGGUACCUGCAGAAGAAGCACCGGCUAACUACGUG
rnacentral:rRNA from 1 species